GCCGGACUGGGCGGUGUCCAAUGGGACGUGGUCUCUUUGGUGUCCGCCAUUAGCGCGCGGAGGUGACUGAGAGGCAGCGGGCAGCACCAACGACGGGGGGCAGUUGAACCAUCAUCAUCGUGAAUGAUGGCAGAUAAGAAUAGUAAAGGGGAUGAUGCUUCUGUAGAGCCUUUGGGAAUCGACAAACAGCCAACUGAGAGCAAAGGAAAAGCAAAAUUGACGACUCAGGUCAUGCCGAGUCCACAGGUAUUAGCAGCUUUACAGGAAAAACUUGACAGUAUUUCACACACUCCAUCAAGCUACAUUGAAACUUUACCUAAAGCUGUAAAGAGAAGAAUAAAUGCCUUGAAGCGGCUUCAGGUUAAAUGUGCCCACAUAGAAGCCAAAUUUUAUGAGGAAAUUCAUGAACUGGAGCGGAAAUAUGCAGCUCUUUACCAGCCAUACUUUGAAAAGAGACGAGACAUAACAUCAGGCAACGUAGAACCCACAGAUGCAGAAUGUGAAUGGCAUAGUGACAAGGAAGAAGAAGAAGAAGAAUUAGCAGAAGAAUUGAAAAAGAAAGUAGCAAUAGAAGAGAAGAAAGAAGAAUCAGGACAGGAUGAAAAUCCCAAAGGAAUCCCCGAUUUCUGGGUCACAAUAUUCAGGAAUGUAGAUAUGAUAAGUGAAAUUGUUGAGGAGCACGAUGAGCCAAUCUUGAAACACUUGGAGGAUGUCCGAGUGAAGUUCUCAGAGCCAAAUGAGCCAAUGAGUUUUACGCUAGAAUUUCACUUUGAACCAAAUGAUUACUUCACAAAUUCAGUAUUAACCAAAACCUAUAAGAUGAGGUCGGAACCUGAUGAGACUGAUCCUUUCUCCUUUGAAGGCCCAGAGAUAGUUGACUCUGUAGGAUGUACUAUUGACUGGAAGAAAGGAAGGAAUAUAACUGUGAAAACUAUUAAAAAGAAACAGAAGCACAAAGGGAGAGGGACUGUCCGAACCAUCACCAAACAAGUACCCAAUGAUUCUUUCUUCAACUUCUUUAAUCCAUUAAAAGUUUCCGGACAUGGUGAGGCAGAAAUGGAUGAAGAUUCAGAAUUUAACUUAGCCACAGAUUUUGAAAUUGGGCACUUUUUCCGUGAGCGAAUAGUACCUAGAGCCAUUCUGUAUUUCACUGGUGAAGCCAUAGAUGAUGAUGAAGAUUAUGAAGUUGAGGAGGGAGAAGAAGGUGAAGAGGAGGAUGAUGAUGAAGAGGAAGAUGGUGAUGACGAUGAUGAUGCUGAGAUAGAUCCUAAAGUGUAAUUCAUGUCUCAGUAAAACAAUUGUACGUUCCUAGCCUCCUGUGUGACAUGUGGUGAAAGGCUUCUGAAAACCUAGAAAGAGCCCAGCCAGCCUGCUGAAUGCAAGCAGCAAUAGGAGUGUGGUACCAAGGAAACACCACUGCCUCGAGACUGAUGCCAUGUGAAAAAGUGUAUCUAAAAUACUCUUGUGCAGUUGAGGCAACCCCUCCCUUCUCCAGCACAAUCUUAUAAGCUAAACACUAUUUUAAAAUGCAUGGGUUGCUCUUUAACUUAAGUUUUUUCCCCUACUUUUUGCUUACUUUUACAGUGGAAAUAAUACAAAAUUCUACUUCAAAAAUGCUGAAGGGUUCACGACUGUAAGGUAAAGCAAGCAUGCACUCUACAGCUCUAAUAAACACUGGUAUUUUGAAAUGUAGUGAGUGUUACACGCUUGUCACUUGCAGCUAGGGGCAGCAUUGCUGAGUGACUUGGUGGUGAUUUUCAUGAAGUUCUGAAGUGCAUCUUUACUGUGCUGCCCAAUAUUUGAGCAGUUACAUAGAGUUUUAGCAUUCUAUCUAUUAAUAUUUAUAUUUAAAUACAUUACGAAAGCUUAGUUUCCUACCCAAUCCAACAGUGCUGUGAUCACCAUUGCUGUUUUAGUCCAGAAUGAGGUGAUGGUAUAAAAAACUAUAUAUACAUGGAGGCUGUGCUGAAGUGUUAUUGUCACAGAAUUAUUUAUUACUGUUAUACAGAAACUACUAACCAGCAUGUGGGGGGAAAGAAAUCCAUUUCCUGGGCAUAUUAGUUCCAGUUGCAUCCACUCCAUCUUCUAAAAAGAUGCACAUUUAGGAUGAUAUGAGAAUCGUCAGUUUUCCUGUGGAAGUAAAAUCUUUAACACAGAUCUAUUUUUAUUUUUGUGUCAAGUGCACAGCACUAUGUCCAGGCAUAGAGUGCUCCAGCCUUACCUUGUUCAAACAGUUGUAAUGUACCUUAAUAUGCUGUUUUCAAUUUGUACAGAAUAGCCGGAGUAUUCUAAUAAAGUUGUGCAACGUUAAACAA